AAGGUUGAAAGUGUGAACUGGAUAGAGACCUCGUCGAGAGAGACAUACCGUUCUCAUGUAGCGUAAGUUGAAUGUGUUUGAAGCUUGCUAAGGCUGUUAGCAAUUGGGGAUAGUUAAGGUAUCCUGGUGUCGUGAAGACUUGCAAGAUGUGAAUGUCUUUGGCUAGGAGUUCAAGAUCAGCUUAGGGUUUUGUUUCAGAGUGUUGUCUGUGUUUGUUUGGGAAGUUUGUUGUUAAAGCUGAAUGCUUAAUUUGUGUGUGUGGUUUUGACCUUUACUUGUUGUCAAAUACUCUGUACGCAAUUAUAUUCAAGUGGUCAAAUAUUUUAUGACCUUGGG